GUGUCAGCAGCCGCGGUAAUACGAAUCGUCCUAACGUUGUUCGGAUUCACUGGGUUUAAAGGGCGCGUAGGCGGUGCGUUAAGUCGGUGGUGAAAUACUUCAGCUCAACUGGAGAAUUGCCGCUGAAACUGGCGCGCUCGAGGGAGGUAGAGGUGUGUGGAACUUCCGGUGGAGCGGUGAAAUGCGUUGAUAUCGGAAGGAACACCCGUGGCGAAAGCGACGCACUGGACCUCUUCUGACGCUGAGGCGCGAAAGCCAGGGUAGCGAACGGGAUUAGAAACCCCCGUAGUCC
rnacentral:rRNA from 1 species